CUUAAAUGUUCUUAAAGCUGGCGUGGAGUCGCUUCUUCUUCGGCUUCACUUUCUGUCGCCCGGACCUUCAUUGAUGAAGAGUCGAUAAGUUCGUGAAGAAAUUGUCACAAGACAAAGUCUAAUUCUACGUGUCUAAGGCAUUUUUUUUAGUGUUUUAGGGUUCUAGCAUCCAUAAUUCAUUCCAUUAAAGACAAUUAAAAACCAACAUAAACUUGACUAAUCAUGACCUCACGUAAACCACAUAACAAACAAGAUAAAAGAAAUUAAUAUCCUUAAACUUAAUAUCAUUUAAAAUCACACGCUCACCUAAGAGAUAAAAAAAAAUCAUGCACCAAUAUUCCUUUACAAAUAACUUAAAUAAACCAUUUUAAUCCUUUUAAAAAUCCAUACUCAUAAAGCCUUGAAGUAUUAUAAUAAAUGAGGGCUUAAUCCCAAAAUAUUUCUUUUAAGUCCAUCAAUAACUUUAAAAAAAAAACGGACUUCAUUUAAAAUAAAUAGUCCCAACUUUCAAUAUUAAAAUUUUAAAUCAAGAGAUUUAAAUUCACUAAAAUAAUUUAGUGAAAAUUCAAGCAUUUUUAAAAGAAAUUAGGCCAAAAUUCGUAGGCUUUAUUAAUCAAUAACAGUCUAAAAUUAAUUAAAAUGGGCCCAACCAAUUAAAUCAAUACCCAACAUAAUUUAUAGCAAAAUGGGCCCAUCAAUUUAAAUAAAAACGGCCCAAACCAGAAAAUAGGGUUUGAGCCCAAAACUAAACCUAACCCCAUUCUAUCACACAUAAACACAAUAUUCACACACACACACAAGCAUCAGCGCCUCUCUCACUCUCCCUCUCGGCUCUCUCUCUCUUUUCUCCGUCUCACGCCUCUCUCGCUCUCUGUGUUGUUUGAGGGCGGCGCCGCCUCCGGCGCGCCGCUUCCCGUCGUCUCCGCUCUCCCUCUCACCCCCUCGGUCUCCUCUUCUCUCCCUCUCGUUUCUCUGUUCUCCCUUCACCUCUAUCACUCUGCCUCGCCGGAAGUCAGCCGCACGCCGCCGCCUUCGCGUGUCGCUGCCGCCUCCGCCGUGGCCAAGCACGGCGCCGCCUGGUCUUCCUCCUUCGGCUUCUGCUCGGAAAAGUGCCCCUCGUCUGGAACAGGGCAUCUGCCCUCUCCGCUAUAGGGAGCGCACGGCCGCCGCCUGGCCGCCUCCUCCGUCGUCUUUCGUCGCCGGACUCGCAGCAAGAGGAAAAAGGCGGCGGCUGCCGCCGCGCCGCCUCCGGCCGUGAGCGACCGCCGGCCGCUCUCACCCCCAUCUCUCCGUUCCCGGUCACACACACAACAAAGACACAAGAACCCCCAAUUUCAGUCCAGAUUCAAAAUAUAGAACAAGUUAGGGUUUUUGUUUUAAAACUGUUCUUUCUCAUUUUUUUUUCUAUUUCUUCAGCAAAAAUCAAACCUUGUAAAUGUAAUAGCUUAGAAAAUAUAUUAACAAGUGUGCGUGUGUAUUCUUCUGUUC